GCAGCCAUCAUUUAAAGAAAGCGUAAUAGCUCACUGGUCGAGUCGGCCUGCGCGGAAGAUGUAACGGGGCUAAACCAUGCACCGAAGCUGCGGCAGCGACGCUUAUGCGUUGUUGGGUAGGGGAGCGUUCUGUAAGCCUGUGAAGGUGGCCUGUGAGGGUUGCUGGAGGUAUCAGAAGUGCGAAUGCUGACAUAAGUAACGAUAAAGCGGGUGAAAAGCCCGCUCGCCGGAAGACCAAGGGUUCCUGUCCAACGUUAAUCGGGGCAGGGUGAGUCGACCCCUAAGGCGAGGCCGAAAGGCGUAGUCGAUGGGAAACGGGUUAAUAUUCCCGUACUUGGUGUUACUGCGAAGGGGGGACGGAGAAGGCUAUGUUGGCCGGGCGACGGUUGUCCCGGUUUAAGCGUGUAGGUGUGUGUUCCAGGUAAAUCCGGUUCACUUUAACACUGAGGCGUGAUGACGAGGCACUACGGUGCUGAAGCAACAAAUGCCCUGCUUCCAGGAAAAGCCUCUAAGCAUCAGGUAACAUCAAAUCGUACCCCAAACCGACACAGGUGGUCAGGUAGAGAAUACCAAGGCGCUUGAGAGAACUCGGGUGAAGGAACUAGGCAAAAUGGUGCCGUAACUUCGGGAGAAGGCACGCUGACACGUAGGUGAAGUGAUUUACUCAUGGAGCUGAAGUCAGUCGAAGAUACCAGCUGGCUGCAACUGUUUAUUAAAAACACAGCACUGUGCAAACACGAAAGUG
rnacentral:rRNA from 1 species